ensembl:Mt_tRNA
GGAGAGUGGUGUAAGGGGAGCACCUGGAGUUUUGAUCUCCUGAGUAUGGGUUCGACCCCCUUCUUUCUAG